AUUGAACGCUGGCGGCAGGCCUAACACAUGCAAGUCGAGCGGGUGAAGGGAGCUUGCUCCUGGAUUCAGCGGCGGACGGGUGAGUAAUGCCUAGGAAUCUGCCUGGUAGUAGGGGAUAACGUCCGGAAACGGGCGCUAAUACCGCAUACGUCCUGAGGGAGGAAGUGGGGGAUCUUCGGACCUCACGCUAUCAGAUGAGCCUAGGUCGGAUUAGCUAGUUGGUGGGGUAAAGGCCUACCAAGGCGACGAUCCGUAACUGGUCUGAGAGGAUGAUCAGUCACACUGGAACUGAGACACGGUCCAGACUCCUACGGGAGGCAGCAGUGGGGAAUAUUGGACAAUGGGCGAAAGCCUGAUCCAGCCAUGCCGCGUGUGUGAAGAAGGUCUUCGGAUUGUAAAGCACUUUAAGUUGGGAGGAAGGGCAGUAAGUUAAUACCUUGCUGUUUUGACGUUACCAACAGAAUAAGCACCGGCUAACUUCGUG
rnacentral:rRNA from 1 species